GGAGUGGUUUCUGACUUUCCCUAGAGAACAGUUUAUGAUCAUUAACUUUAAAGACUAUAAGAACGACAAAACCAAAACUUUGAACCGAAUAUUCAAAUUUUUGGAAUUAAGCACACUUACUGAAGAAGAAAUGAUAAACAGUGGAAUGAUCACAAAAAAAGCCAAAAACCGAGGUCGACAAAUUCUUCUUAGUUCACUUAACAAUUCAACUGUCAAAAUGUUACAAGAAUUCUAUAGACCUUACAACAAACUUUUACUUAAUCUGUUAAAUAGUAGUAGUUUUGAUUGGACAUGAUGAUAUCAUAUAUAGUAAAGUUUUAAUCGAGA